GACGAACGCUGGCGGCGUGCUUAAUACGUGCAAGUCGAACGAUGAAGCUGGAGCUUGCUCCGGUGGAUUAGUGGCGAACGGGUGAGUAACACGUGAGUAACCUGCCCUCGACUCUGGGAUAACUGCGGGAAACUGUAGCUAAUACCGGAUACGACACCUUCGGGCAUCCGAUGGGUGUGGAAAGAAUUUCGGUCAAGGAUGGACUCGCGGCCUAUCAGCUUGUUGGUGAGGUAACGGCUCACCAAGGCGACGACGGGUAGCCGGCCUGAGAGGGUGACCGGCCACACUGGGACUGAGACACGGCCCAGACUCCUACGGGAGGCAGCAGUAGGGAAUAUUGCACAAUGGGCGCAAGCCUGAUGCAGCAACGCCGCGUGAGGGAUGAAGGCCUUCGGGUUGUAAACCUCUUUUAGUAGGGAAGAAGCGAAAGUGACGGUACCUACAGAAAAAGCACCGGCUAACUACGUGCCAGCCGCCGCGGUAA
rnacentral:rRNA from 1 species